rnacentral:rRNA from 1 species
CCUACGGGAGGCAGCAGUGGGGAAUCUUGGACAAUGGGGGCAACCCUGAUCCAGUCAUGCCGCGUGAGUGAAGAAGGCCCUAGGGUCGUAAAGCUCUUUCGCCUGUGAAGAUAAUGACGGUAGCAGGUAUAGAAACCCCGGCUAACUCCGUGCCAGCAGCCGCGGUAAUACGGAGGGGGUUAGCGUUGCUCGGAAUUACUGGGCGUAAAGCGCACGUAGGCGGAUCGGAAAGUUGGGGGUGAAAUCCCGGGGCUCAACCCCGGAACUGCCUCCAAAACUAUCGGUCUAGAGUUCGAGAGAGGUGAGUGGAAUUCCGAGUGUAGAGGUGAAAUUCGUAGAUAUUCGGAGGAACACCAGUGGCGAAGGCGGCUCACUGGCUCGAUACUGACGCUGAGGUGCGAAAGUGUGGGGAGCAAACAGGAUUAGAUACCCUGGUAGUCCACACCGUAAACGAUGAAUGCCAGUCGUCGGGUAGCAUGCUAUUCGGUGACACACCUAACGGAUUAAGCAUUCCGCCUGGGGAGUACGGUCGCAAGAUUAAAACUCAAAUGAAUUGACGG